GAGACAAUAGUAAUAAAAAUGGAAAAAUACAUUCUUCUAAAAUGAGUUGCGGGUUCGAGUCCUGCUUGUCUCC
rnacentral:tRNA from 3 species